rnacentral:rRNA from 1 species
GAUGAACGCUGGCGGCAGGCCUAACACAUGCAAGUCGAGCGAGCGGCGGACGGGUGAGUAAUGUCUGGGAAACUGCCUGAUGGAGGGGGAUAACUACUGGAAACGGUAGCUAAUACCGCAUACCAUCAGAUGUUCCCAGAUGGGAUUAGCUAGUAGGUGGGGUAUUGGCUCACCUAGGCGACGAUCCCAAGCUGGUCUGAGAGGAUGACCAGCAACACGGGAACGAAGAAACGGUCCGGACUCCAACGGGAGGCAGCAGUGGGGAAUAUUGGCCAAGGUGCGCAAGCUUGAUGCAGCCAGGCCGGGUGGAUAAGGAGGUCCUUCGGGUGGUAAGGUACUUUCAGCGGGGAGGCGUUACCCGAAGAAGAAGCAACGGCUAACUCCGUGCCAGCAGCCGCGGUAAUUC